UACGAAGGGGGCUAGCGUUGUUCGGAAUUACUGGGCGUAAAGCGCACGUAGGCGGAUAUUUAAGUCAGGGGUGAAAUCCUGGAGCUCAACUCCAGAACUGCCUUUGAUACUGGAGAGCUUGAGUCCGGGAGAGGUGAGUGGAAUUCCUGGUGUAGCGGUGGAAUGCGCAGAUAUCAGGAGGAACACCAAUGGCGAAGGCAGCUCUCUGGUACGUGACUGACGCUGAGACGCGAAAGCGUGGGGAGCGAACAGG
rnacentral:rRNA from 1 species